GUGGUAUGUGUCCUCUUAUUUGGCUUCCGCCUCAGACAACAGAGAGUCCAAGGAGAGGUGGGUGACAGACUGUGACAUACAACAGAGUCCAAGGAGAGGUGGGAUACAGAUCCUGCCACAUUCAACAAACAGUGGCUUUAUUCAUCAAAAUACAACAAUGAAAUUCAUUGUGACAUAUAACCCUUCGUGGUAUGUGUCCUCUUAUUUGGCUUCCGCCUCAGACAACAGAGUCCAAGGAGAGGUGGGUGACAGACUGUGACAUUCAACAGAGAGUGUCCAAGGAGAGGUGGGUGACAGACUGUGACAUGUACAACAGAGUCCAAGGAGAUGUGGGUGAUAGACUGUGACAUACAACAGAGUCCAAGGAGAGGUGGGAUACAGACCCUGCCACAUUCAACAAACAGUGGCUUUAUUCAUCAAAAUACAACAACGAAAUUCAUUGUGACAUAUAACCCUUCGUGGUAUGUGUCCUCUUAUUUGGCUUCCGCCUCAGACAACAGAGAGUCCAAGGAGAGGUGGGUGACAGACUGUGACAUACAACAGAGAGUGUCCAAGGAGAGGUGAGUGACAGACUGUGACAUACAACAGAGUCCAAGGAGAGGUGAGUGACAGACUGUGACAUGCAACAGAGAGUCCAAGGAGAGGUGGGAUACAGACCCUGCCACAUUCAACAAACAGUGGCUUUAUUCAUCAAAAUACAACAACGAAAUUCAUUGUGACAUAUAACCCUUCGGUAUGUGUCCUCUUAUUUGGCUUCCGCCUCAGACAACAGAGAGUCCAAGGAGAGGUGGGUAACAGACUGUGACAUACAACAGAGAGUGUCCAAGGAGAGGUGAGUGACAGACUGUGACAUACAACAGAGUGUCCAAGGAGAGGUGGGUGACAGACUGUGACAUACAACAGAGAGUGUCCAAGGAGAGGUGAGUGACAGACUGUGACAUACAACAUAGAGUGUCCAAGGAGAGGUGAGUGACAGACUGUGACAUACAACAGAGAGUCCAAGGAGAGGUGAGUGACAGACUGUGACAUACAACAGAGAGUGCAAGGAGAGGUGGGAUACAGACUCUGCCACAUACAACAAAGAGUGGCUUUAUUCAUCAAUAUACAACAACGAGGAUACAACACCAAAAUUAAUUGUGACAUAAAACCCUUCGUGGUAUGUGUCCUCUUAUUUGGCUUCCGCCUCAGACAACAGAGAGUGCAAGGAGAGGUGGGUGACAGACUGUGACAUGCAACAGAGAGUGUCCAAGGAGAGGUGGGUGACAGACUGUGACACACAACAGAGAGUCCAAGGAGAGGUGAGUGACAGACUGUGACAUACAACAGAGAGUGCAAGGAGAGGUGGGAUACAGACUCUGCCACAUACAACAAACAGUGGCUUUAUUCAUCAAUAUACAACAACAAGGAGGAUACAACACCAAAAUUAAUUGUGACAUAUAACCCUUCGUGGUAUGUGUCCUCUUAUUUGGCUUCCGCCUCAGACAACAGAGAGUCCAAGGAGAGGUGGGUGACAGACUGUGACAUACAACAGAGAGUGUCCAAGGAGAGGUGAGUGACAGACUGUGACAUACAACAGAGAGUCCAAGGAGAGGUGAGUGACAGACUGUGACAUGCAACAGAGAGUCCAAGGAGAGGUGGGAUACAGACCCUGCCACAUUCAACAAACAGUGGCUUUAUUCAUCAAAAUACAACAACGAAAUUCAUUGUGACAUAUAACCCUUCGUGGUAUGUGUCCUCUUAUUUGGCUUCCGCCUCAGACAACAGAGAGUCCAAGGAGAGGUGGGUGACAGACUGUGACAUACAACAGAGAGUGUCCAAGGAGAGGUGGGUGACAGACUGUGACAUACAACAGAGAGUGUCCAAGGAGAGGUGGGUGACAGACUGUGACAUACAACAGAGAGUGUCCAAGGAGAGGUGAGUGACAGACUGUGACAUACAACAGAGAGUGCAAGGAGAGGUGGGAUACAGACUCUGCCACAUACAAUAAAGAGUGGCUCUAUUCAUCAAUAUACAACAACAAGGAGGAUACAACACCAAAAUUAAUUGUGACAUAUAACCCUUCGUGGUAUGUGUCCUCUUAUUUGGCUUCCGCCUCAAACAACAGAGAGUGCAAGGAGAGGUGGGUGACAGACUCUGACAUACAACAGAGUCCAAGGAGAGGUGGGUGACAGACUGUGACAUACAACAGAGAGUGUCCAAGGAGAUGUGGGUGACAGACUGUGACAUGUACAACAGAGUCCAAGGAGAGGUGGGAUACAGACCCUGCCACAUUCAACAAACAGUGGCUUUAUUCAUCAAAAUACAACAACGAAAUUCAUUGUGACAUAUAACCCUUCGUGGUAUGUGUCCUCUUAUUUGGCUUCCGCCUCAGACAACAGAGGGUCCAAGGAGAGGUGGGUGACAGACUGUGACAUCCAACAGAGUGUGUCCAAGGAGAGGUGAGUGACAGACUGUGACAUACAACAGAGAGUCCAAGGAGAGGUGAGUGGCAGACUGUGACAUACAACAGUGAGUGCAAGGAGAGGUGGGAUACAGACUCUGCCACAUACAAUAAAGAGUGUCUCUAUUCAUCAAUAUACAACAACAAGGAGGAUACAACACCAAAAUUAAUUGUGACAUAUAACCCUUCGUGGUAUGUGUCCUCUUAUUUGGCUUCCGCCUCAGACAACAGAGUCCAAGGAGAGGUGGGUGACAGACUGUGACAUACAACAGAGAGUGUCCAAGGAGAGGUGGGUGACAGACUGUGACAUGUACAACAGAGAGUCCAAGGAGAGGUGAGUGACAGACUGUGACAUACAACAGAGAGUGCAAGGAGAGGUGGGAUACAGACUCUGCCACAUACAACAAAGAGUGGCUUUAUUCAUCAAUAUACGACAACAUGGAGGAUACAACACCAAAAUUAAUUGUGACAUAUAACCCUUCGUAGUAUGUGUCCUCUUAUUUGGCUUUCGCCUCAGACAACAGAGUCCAAGGAGAGGUGGGUGACAGACUGUGACUUACAACAGAGAGUGUCCAAGGAGAGGUGAGUGACAGACUGUGACAUACAACAGAGAGUCCAAGGAGAGGUGAGUGACAGACUGUGACAUACUACAGAGAGUUCAAGGAGAGGUGGGAUACAGACUCUGCCACAUACAACAAAGAGUGGCUUUAUUCAUCAAUAUACGACAACAAGGAGGAUACAACACCAAAAUUAAUUGUGACAUACAACCCUUCGUGGUAUGUGUACUCUUAUUUGGCUUCCGCCUCAGACAACAGAGAGUGCAAGGAGAGGUGGGUGACAGACUGUGACAUACAACAGAGAGUGUCCAAGGAGAGGUGGGUGACAGACUGUGACAUACAACAGAGUCCAAGGAGAGGUGGGAUACAGACCCUGCCACAUUCAACAAACAGUGGCUUUAUUCAUCAAAAUACAACAACGAAAUUCAUUGUGACAUAUAACCCUUCGUGGUAUGUGUCCUCUUAUUUGGCUUCCGCCUCAGACAACAGAGAUUCCAAGGAGAGGUGGGUGACAGACUGUGACAUACAACAGAGAGUGCAAGGAGAGGUGGGAUACAGACUCUGCCACAUUCAACAAAGAGUGGCUUUAUUCAUCAAUAUACAACAACAAGGAGGAUACAACACCAUAUUUCAUGGUGACAUAUAACCCUUCGUGGUAUGUGUCCUCUUAUUUGGCUUCCGCCUCAAUCAACAGUGUCCAAGGAGAGGUGAGAUACAUACUGUGACAUACAACAGAGUGUCCAAGGAGAGGUGAGUGACAGACUGUGACAUACAACAGAGAGUCCAAGGAGAGGUGGGAUACAGACUCUGCCACAUACAACAAAGAGUGGCUUUAUUCAUCAAUAUACAACAACAUGGAGGAUACAACACCGAAAUUCAUUGUGAAAUAAAACCCUUCGUGGUAUGUGUCCUCUUAUCUGGCCUGCCGCCGCCCUAGUCCCUGCCCUUGUCCCUGCUCUGCGGACUGCGGUUGCGCCAGUCCCUUCAGCUGUCUCUAUUGUUUCUCCACAGCCAGCCCCAGUCCCUUUUCCGCAAGUCGGGGGAGUUUCUUUAUAUAUGGGGGUUCCUGAAUAUUUAGUUACGCCCUCUGAUGUUCGCUAUUGGUCAGUUUAAAUGGGGGUUCCUGAACAUUAAGUUACAUCCACUGAUGUUCGCCAUUGGUCAGUUUGGGGACAUCCUGGUUUGACACACGUUUCAACAAUAGGUGUCAUGUAUGGGUAUGAUGUCAUUACGUUGAGUGUACUAAUGGAGGAAGAGUAAACUAUAGUUACAACUUUAUCUCAGAGUCCAUGUGAUUUUAUUCAAUAUAAUUUGUCAAGAUAUAACUCUAGGUUCAAGCAGUUGAAGCACUGAUAGAAAACAAAAGUGUAUUUGCUUUGACUGCAUGUUGAAAAAACACUAGUCUGAUUAUGCUUGUACCAAUUAUGUAAAAUAAAACAUUUAAUUGUAUUUUGUAUCAGGAUUAAAAUUGUUUGAUAACAACUGAAAUAUAUUGUUUUGAAGACUGAGGUGCCUCUAAAAAAGUUUUAAAUGUUUAGGUUACAGUCAAGAAUGAGAUACUGGUGGUUUUGAAAGCUGCUAAGUGCAGUUAUAAUUCAGACACAUGCACAGUCAUACUCACUAUGCCUGCCAUGGUCAGUUUUUCUUUGAGUAGCCAUUGCUUGGUUAUAUGUGAUUAAGUUGAAGGCCAUCAUUAGGAGGUUGAUGAUUGAGAAUGCUGCUUAUUGCAGUUAAAAUAUAGUUGAUCUGAGCUCUUCAUGUUACAAAGUGAAACAGGCCUCCCUUUUGCACAAGUUUAUACAAUAUUACCAUUUAUGUAUUUUCCAUAGAUUCAACAUAUUACACAAAUGUGAACACGGUGUGUAAGAUAUAUCUUGCGGUGGACCUGGGAGCAACAACUUCAGUGACAGCUAAACUGUUCUGAAGGUCCUUUCCCUAGACCUGUGGGUUCUACCUGUAUAGAUCUGACCAGUUUUCAUACAAAUCAUUGUAAUGGUUUCUCCUUCCUCUGACUUGCACUGUUCAAUUUAAAAGCAAUCUUGUAGAAAGUUGAAACUGGUAAUUGGAAGUGUGGAAUUUUCUAUAGCCUGUUGCAGAAAAAUGGCAAGUUUCAAUUUGCAUCAUGUAGAGCUCAGGUCAACAUCUGUUUACAGAACAAUACAUUUUUCCAGGAGUGCCUGGAACAAGCAACAUUUAUUAUAUAGUAAUGAUGUGGUUAUGGACUUAAUUUUUUGGGGGGAGGAAUGUAAGUGUUACAUCUAAUUUAACCCUUAACCUAAAAGUUGAUUCAAUAGCAUAAAUUACAAGUAGAACAGGUCCAAAAGAGCACAAAUGAGAAAGUCAAUUAAUGUAGCCCAAAAUCUUAAAGUUAAUGGCAUAACUUAAAAAUACAACAUUAAAUUAUAUGCCAGUUAGACAAUUAAACAUUUAAUUACCCCAUUAAAUAUUCAAAACAUUACAUUCCAACACUGUCAAAACUAAACUGUUUCUUUACGUACUGUGUAUUCAACUUUGGCCAGAUUCUGUAGGAUUUGGAUUCAUCCUAUCAUGUUGUAUGGCCAGGUGAACACUUCCAAAACACUGUCCAGUUUAUUCUUGCUAAAUAAAUGAUGUUCUUUGUCUGUUUGUCUCGUCAAAUUGUAUUGUGUUUUCUGGAUCUUGUAAUUGUUGUUGUGUGGAAAACAGCAUUAGAUGAUGGUUUAAAGACAGCUAAUAGGUAUCCUGAAAAAUUAUCACUAAGUCCUCUUUUGUCUGUUUCGUCCAUGAAUGUUUCAGUGUCUUCAAAAUUACUAAACAAAAACAUGAAUGGGGAGAGAGUUCUUCCUCUAGAUUUGAAGCCUCUCUGAGCAUCUGCAGACCACCUGUAUUUCCUCAUCAUUCAGGGGUGAGGACUUGUACCCAGUCUCAGGAGAGGCCCAUGUUGGCAUUUACCCAGGCAACAGCAUCUCCCAGCUCAACAAUGCAUCUUUGGAACUGAAAUGAAAAAUCACAACAAUCACAGUCCCUGCUGCCACAGCAUACAACACCGAAAUUCAUUUUGACAUAAAACCCUUGGUGGUAUGUGACCUCUUAUUUGGCCUGCCGCCGCCCUAGUCCCUUCUCUGCGGCCGGCCCCCAUCCCAGUCUCUGCCCCUACUCCGCGUCCUGUCGCCGCUCCAGUCCCUGCCAUCGUCCCUCUUGUUGCUCCACAGCCAGCCCCAGUCCCGUUUUCCAAAGCCUGCCACCCCUUUUCUUCUCCUCGGCCUGCCGCCGCCCCUGUUUCUGCUCAGCGGCCUGCCGCUGCCCCUGUGCCUAAACUACAGUGCGUUUAUUGUUUACAGCCUGAAUUAUUUAUAACUCAGUUCCACUGGUAACCAAGUGGCUUUAUUCAUCAAUAUACAACAACAUGGAGGAUACAACACCAAAAUUCAUUGUGACAGAAAACCCUUCGUGGUAUGUGACCUCUUAUUUGGCCUGCCGCUGUCCUAGUCCCUGCCACCGCCCCUCUUGUUGCUCCACAGCCAGCACCUGUCCCUUUUCCACGGCCUGCUGCCGCCCCAGUUUCUUUACCGCGGCCUUCCGCCGCCCCAGUCCCUAUUUCUUUCUGACAUUCAGUCACACCGUUUCAUUAUUAGUUGAGUGUUAUUUUUAGUAUUGCAGUAGCCUUUAUAUUAGGGACCAGGAUAAUAGGUAUAUUGAUGCAAUGUUUUGUCUUCUCCUGUAAGGACUGUGUGGCGGACCUCUAGCUUAAUGCAUGGACACGAAUUGGGACAACCAUGUGAAGUGAAACCUCCUGCAACCUUUCACUUUGGCACGUUCUGUGUUCCAGAGCCAGAUUCAUGGCAUAACGGAAAUUUUGUUUGGGAAAAGGCGGAAGGCCUGACCUUGUUAUGCCUGGAACACAUCUCCAAUUCAACGCUGAGACAGAACAGCACAACUUGAAAUUGAACCUUGAGCCUUGUGCCCAACAGCAACAAAUUGUGGGCACAGAGUGGCUCGAUACAGAAGAAGAUGAGACAGUAUUUCUGUCAAGGUUUCUACAACAUCUUGAUUAAGGCAGAGAGGCCUUCAGGGCGAUACGGACAAGGGCAACAACAGUACUCUGCAAAAAACAACCUUGUCUACUAUGACAGAAGCAGAGCCGUGAUCAGAACAUACACUGUCGUUAUCCUGACAACUGGGAAAGAUUAAGCCAUGGUUGGACGAUUCCGCCAUGGUUGGAUAAAUGAGCCAAGGUUGGACGAUUCAGUCAUGGCUGGACGAUUCAGCCAUGGCUGGACGAUUCAGCUAUGGCUGGACGAUUCAGCUAUUGGUGGAUAAAUGAGCCAUGGGUGGACGAUUCAGCCAUGGCUGGACGAUUCAGCCAUGGGUGGACGAUUCAGCCAUGGGUGGACGAUUCAGCUAUGGGUGGAUAAAUUAACCAUGGUUGGACGAUUCCGCCAUGGUUGGAUAAAUGAGCCAUGGUUGGAAGAUUCAGCCAUGGUUGGACGAAUCGGCCAUGGGUGGACGAUUCAGCCAUGAGUGGAUAAAUGAGACACGGUGGGACACAAAAAACUUCAGCAAAGCGGUGACGCAAGAUCACUCAGCUUCUAAGUCAAAUAAGUCUUCAGCCUGUAAGUUAUCUGGGUCCAAACAUACAAAGAAGAACAGCCGGCCUGACAGGAGUGAGGAGAAACAUGGCAGGAGUGACAAGGUGGUUAAAGACAUGUCUGUCCGGUGCUUUGACAGAGAGGGCUGGACAAAAAGGCAAAAGCUGUCGGACUCGGGAAAAGCUGUCGGAUGACUACGAAGGGGAGGAGAAACUGGGGGGAGGUAUAAAGGGAGUCAGUCCUUCCAAGAUAAAAUGCACUAGCUCUCUUAUCAGCAACACCUACUCCGAGCAGAAGGAGAGAAGAGCGUGUGAGAAUACUCAAAAGGGCAUGCUUGACAAUACACCCAGACGCAAACUCAAAAGGACAGAGCCAGGGAGGUCCCUCCAGGAGCCAGAGGCUCUCAAAAAGCAAGAACCCAGCUACCACCCCAACGCUACAUCUUCACAUAGAAGUCCUGGUGUUCCACAGACCCAAGCGCAGAGCUUAAGUGGAGAGGCUGCAAGAGUGGCCAAGGUGACCGAUCAAGCUGCGUGGCCUACUGAUACCCUUCAACAAGAGUCACCUGAUUACAAGGGAGAGAGGGGGUGUGACCGUGAGGAGGACGGGCUAGACAGAGAGGAUCACCCGAACCAACCUGCUGAGCCUACAUCUGCUGCAGAGUCGUCACUGGAAGUUACUGAUGUCCAAUCAGACUUUCAUGAUAGACUAGACCAGCUGGUGGCUAAACCGUCCAACAAGAUGAAACCUAGCGCUCAAAGCAAAAAAAGAGAUCUGCGUAGCAAAAGAGUUGGCAAAUGUGCCAAGAAACAAGAACCUUUUCACCACCCCAAAGCGGUGACGCAAGAUCGCUCGGCUUCUAAGUCAAAUAAGUCUUCAGCCUCUAAAUCAUCUGGGUCCAAGAGUGACAACAUGGCCCACGAUUCACCAGCACACAGCUUGCACCACAGGUACAGUCAGGACAACGAGCACCCUUGGCUGAACGAGGCUGAGGAAGUGAACAGGGAAGAGGAAGAGUGUCAUGACGAUGAAGAUGAGAUCCCCGGUGAGGAUUUGGCGGCUACGAUGGACUACAACAACAGCGAGAGUCCAGGCGAAUACGAUUGCAGUGACGACUUCAUAGACGACCGAUCUACCGAGGAGGAAUACAGCAAAGAAGUGGAGGAGGAUGAUGAGGUGUUCUGUGCUCAGGUUAAAAGGAGGGCCAAAAAGGCUAUGAGGGAGAUGAAGAAUGUUAAUCUGGGACAUGAGUAUAAGCGCGUGUCACAUUCAGAGUCCGAAGAAGACGAGUACUGCCCAGAGUCUGCCUGUAGCGUUAUGAAAGAGGACACUCUGGGGUGUAAACGUGCCCUGCAAUCAGACUCAGAUGAGUUGAUCAAGCCAGAUGUAAAGCGUGUCAAACUUACAAAGAACAGCCGGCCUGACAGGAGUGAGGAGAAAUGUAGCAGGAGUGCCAGCAUGGUAAAAGAGACAUCUGUGCAGCGCUUUGACCGAGAGGAUAAGACGCUUGUUAAAAAGAGACAGGACAAGUCUAACAAGAGGUGCGAAAGAGUAAUGUCUGCUAAGAACACACAGAUCCCAAAUCGGGAUUCGCCUCUGUACAAAACCAAGCUUUCGGACUCGGAAACCGAUGACUACGAAAGGGAGGAGAAACUGGGGAGAGGUAUAAAGGGAGUCAGUCCUUCCAAGAUAAAAUGCACUAGCUCUCUUAUCAGCAACACCUACUCCGUGCAGGAGGAGAGAAGAGUGUGUGAGAAUACUCAAAAGGGCAUGCUUGACAAUACACCCAGACGCAAACUCAAAAGGACAGAGCCAGGGAGGUCCCUCCAGGAGCCAGAGGCUCUCAAAAAGCAAGAACCCAGCUACCACCCCAACGCUACAUCUUCACAUAGAAGUCCUGGUGUUCCACAGACCCAAGCGCAGAGCUUAAGUGGAGAGGCUGCAAGAGUGGCCAAGGUGACCGAUCAAGCUGCGUGGCCUACUGAUACCCUUCAACAAGAGUCACCUGAUUACAAGGGAGAGGGGGGGUGUGACCGUGAGGAGGACGGGCUAGACAGAGAGGAUCACCCGAACCAACCAGCUGAGCCUACAUCUGCUGCAGAGUCGUCACAGGAACAUUCUGAUGUCCAAUCAGACUUUCAUGAUAGACUAGACCAGCUGGUGACUAAACCGUCCAACAAGAUGAAACCUAGCGCUCAAAGCAAAAAAAGCGAUCUGCGUAGCAAAAGAGUUGGCAAAUGUGCCAAGAAACAAGAACCUUUUCACCACCCCAAAGCGGUGACGCAAGAUCGCUCGGCUUCUAAGUCAAAUAAGUCUUCAGCCUCUAAAUCAUCUGGGUCCAAGAGUGACAACAUGGCCCACGAUUCACCAGCACACAGCUUGCACCACAGGUACAGUCAGGACAACGAGCACCCUUGGCUGAACGAGGCUGAGGAAGUAAACUGCGAAUCGGAAGAGUGUCAUGAGGAUGAAGAUAAGAUCCCCGGUGAGGAUUUGGAGGAUACGAUGGACUACAAAAACAGCGAGAGUCCAGACGAAUACGAUUACAGUGACGACUUCAUUGAUGACUUCAUAAGACUUCAUAUCACUUCAUAAGAAGUGAUACAGAUUGCUUAUUUUAGUUUGAUAUCUAACUUAGCAAAAUGUUUAAUACCUGUGUGACAUAUUCCAACCCAUCCCUGUACCCAUCUCUGUAUGUGAUAAUAAAAUUAAGUUAAACACCGG
ensembl:lncRNA